CGAGAAAGCGUCCUUCGGGGCGUUAGUAAAGCGGCGAACGGGUGCGUAACACGUGGGCAACCUGCCCACCGGUCUGGGAUAAGCCUUCGAAAGGGGGUCUAAUACCAGAUGACACUCGGGGAGGGCAUCCUUCCCGAUUCAAAGGCGGUCACUUUCGGGUGGCCGUUGCCGGUGGAUGGGCCCGCGGUCCAUUAGCUUGUUGGUGAGGUAACGGCCCACCAAGGCUGCGAUGGAUAGCCGACCUGAGAGGGUGAUCGGCCACACUGGGACUGAGAUACGGCCCAGACUCCUACGGGAGGCAGCAGUAGGGAAUAUUGCGCAAUGGGCGAAAGCCUGACGCAGCAACGCCGCGUGGGUGACGAAGCUUUUCGGAGUGUAAACCCUGUCAGUGGAGAAGAAACGGUUGCAUAGGUAAUGAUGCAGCCCUGACGGUACCCGCAGAGGAAGUUCCGGCUAACUCCGUGCCAGCAGCCGCGGUAACACGGGGGGAACGAGCGUUGUUCGGAUUUACUGGGCGUAAAGGGUGCGUAGGCGGGCCGGUCAGUCGGGUGUGAAAGCUCACGGCUUAACCGUGAAUCUGCAUCCGAAACUGCUGGUCUUGAGUACGGGAGAGGAAAGUGGAAUUCCAGGUGUAGCGGUGAAAUGCGUAGAUAUCUGGAGGAACACCGGUGGCGAAGGCGGCUUUCUGGACCGAUACUGACGCUGAUGCACGAAGGCCGGGGGAGCAAACAGGAUUAGAUACCCUGGUAGUCCCGGCGGUAAACGAUGGGCACUAGGUGUCAGGGGUAUCGACCCCCUUGGUGCCGCAGUUAACACAUUAAGUGCCCCGCCUGG
rnacentral:rRNA from 1 species